UGAAGGUGACAGUUGUCCUCACAGUUCUGGCGCUCACCUGUCUGGUCGGCUCUGUGACGUCACAAUACUACAGCAACAACAACGGCAGGAGCCGCUUUCCCAGCUACAACCGCAACAACAACAGAGGCUACAACUACGGCGGCUACCGACAACAGUAUCCCAGAUACAACAGGUACAACAGAUAUAACAGCUACGACAGUGACAGCAGUGAGAGUCGCGACAGUGACGACAGCAGCGAAGAGAGGGGUCGCUACAAUUACUACAGAAGAUACUAAUGUUCGUGGACUGCGGAGACUGGUGUUUAUUCAUCACAAUGCGUCUGUUACUUUCUAUACUUCUAUACUGUCUUACUGAAGUGAAUGAAAACUGUCACUGUUAGUACGUGACGGCCAGUUUCGUACACGUUUUUUCUUGACAAGCUUUUUUUACUUGAAAUUUAUUUUAUUUUUUAAAUAUUUUUUUUUGGUUCUUUUGACUCUAAAAUAAAUAUUGUGGUUCUGUCUGUAGGUUUCAUACUUUGAAAACCUUCAAAAUAAAGUCAAAGGAAAAGGGAAA